GCGAACGCUGGCGGCAGGCUUAGCACAUGCAAGUCGAACGGACGUAGCAAUACGUCAGUGGCAGACGGGUGAGUAACACGUGGGAACGUGCCCUUCGGCUCGGAACAACCCAGGGAAACUUGGGCUAAUACCGGAUACGCCCUUACGGGGAAAGAUUUAUCGCCGAAGGAUCGGCCCGCGUCUGAUUAGCUUGUUGGUGAGGUAACGGCUCACCAAGGCGACGAUCAGUAGCUGGUCUGAGAGGAUGAUCAGCCACACUGGGACUGAGACACGGCCCAGACUCCUACGGGAGGCAGCAGUGGGGAAUAUUGGACAAUGGGCGCAAGCCUGAUCCAGCCAUGCCGCGUGGGUGAUGAAGGCCUUAGGGUUGUAAAGCCCUUUCGGCGGGGAAGAUAAUGACGGUACCCGCAGAAGAAGCCCCGGCUAACUUCGU
rnacentral:rRNA from 1 species